rnacentral:tRNA from 1 species
AAUUUUUGGUGUGCGGCACAUUAAAUUUUGAUUUUAAAGGGGAUGAUUCAUUUCAUCAAAAUU